rnacentral:rRNA from 1 species
AACGAACGUUUGCGGCGCGCUUAACACAUGCAAGUCGAACGAGAAGGGGCUACGGCCCUGGUAAAGUGGCGCACGGGUGAGUAACACGUGGGUAACCUUCCCUUAGGUGGAGGAUAACUUUCCGAAAGGAGAGCUAAUACCGCAUAAGACCACACUGCGAAAGCAGAGGGGUUAAAGUCAGCCUAUGCAAGCAAGCUGACGCCGAAGGAUGGGUCCGCGUCCCAUCAGCUAGUAGGUAGGGUAAUGGCCUACCUAGGCAAAGACGGGUAGCUGGUCUGAGAGGAUGAUCAGCCACACUGGAACUGAGACACGGUCCAGACUCCUACGGGAGGCAGCAGUGGGGAAUCUUGCGCAAUGGACGAAAGUCUGACGCAGCGACGCCGCGUGGGUGAUGAAGGCCUUCGGGUUGUAAAGCCCUGUGAGAGAGAGACGAAUAAGGGUAGGUAAAUAGUCUACCUGAUGACGGUAUCUUUAUAGCAAGCACCGGCUAACUCUGUGCCAGCAGCCGCAGUAACAC